rnacentral:tRNA from 7 species
GCGGAAGUGGUGAAAUUGGUAGACACGCUACUUUGAGGGGGUAGUGCUCGAAAGGGCGUAGGGGUUCAAGUCCCCUCUUCCGCA